rnacentral:rRNA from 1 species
UACAGAGACUGCAAGCGUUAUUCGGAUUCACUGGGCGUAAAGGGUGCGCAGGCGGCCAAGUGUGUGAGGCGUGAAAGCCCGGGGCUUAACCCCGGAAUUGCACCUCAAACUACAUGGCUAGAGCAUUGGAGAGGGUAGCGGAAUUCCGGGUGGAGUGGUGAAAUGCGUAGAGAUCCGGAGGAACACCGAAGGCGAAGGCAGUGUCCUGGCGAGUGACUGACGCUGAGGUGCGAAAGCCAGGGGAGCGAACGGG